ensembl:lncRNA
GGAACUGUUUGGCCAAAAAAAAUAAUUUGCUAAAAAUGUAUUUUUCACCCUCAUGCCAUCCAAGACGUAGAUGAGUUUAUUUUUUCAUUUGGAGCAAAUUCAGAGAAAUUGAGCAUUACAUCACUUGCUCACCAAUGGAUCCUCUGCGGUUAAUGGGUGUCUUCAAAAUGAGGGUACAGCACAUCAAUUAUGUUUUGUGAAGUAAAAAGCUACAUAAAUAAAUUUUAAUUUAAAAUGUCACUUCGGGCCAAAAUACCAAUCCAUAAUCCAUAACAACACUUCAUCCAUUGAAAAGGUCCAUUUUGUCCUCUCACAUUAAAAUCCAUUGACAUUUUUCAAUGGUUUGAAGAUAAAAACAUCUUCAUGAUGAAUUUGUUUAUUACAAAAAGCAGCUUUUCACUUCAAUACGUUAAUUGAUGGACUGGAGUCGAGUGGAUUACUUGUGGAUUAUUGUGAUGUUUUUAUCAGCUGUUUGAACUCUCAUUCUGACCCAUUCACUGCAGAUGAUCCAAUUGUGAGCAAGUGUUGUAAUGCUAAAUUUAUCAAAAUCCAUUUUAAAGAAAAAACAAACUCAUCUACAUCUUGGAUGGUUUGAGCUGGCAUGCAUGCACUACCAUUCUUUGGCCUUACAGGGCCAAAUUACAUGACACCCUGGACUCACCGGAUACACUAGCAGAGAACAAAAUCUUGGUGAAAUUGGAACAUUUCUGCAUAUCAGCUCUCUGUGUUUGUCUGUCUAAUUUUUAUUUCACCUGGAGCACAACUAAGAAUCUUAUGUUGUUAUUAAUACCAGUUAUCACUAUUAAUCUCAGUUAGAACAGAUCCAGUGUAUGCAUUUCUGCAAACUUUGAGGUAAUUUCUUGUAUUCUGCACAAUUUUCAUGUAAAUGCACCUUCUUAUUGCUGCACAGAAAAUAUUUUUGCUACUGACUAAUUAUGUUGUCUUCCAGCUAUAAUGGCUUAACUCAUGGGUUCUCAACUAUGGCCUGCGAGAUCCAUUUUCCUGCGUUCAGCUUCAACCCUAAUCAAACACACUUGAACAAGCUAAUCAAGGUAUUUAGGAUCACUAGCAAGUUACAGGCAGGUGAGUUUGAUCAAGGUUGGUGCUGAACUCAGCAGGAAAAUAGAUCUCGAGGGCAAGAGUUGAGAACCACUGGCUUAACUAAUGGUGUAACAUUUGAGUAUCUUUGCGAACAUAAUCAGCAUUUUGUCUUGAAAUUGCUGAAACAUAAAGCAGUGAAUUAUGAGGCCAGAAUUAUUAGGAGUACAAUCAGUGAGGGAUUGAGAGAGGGAGAGAUUAAUGUGUCCAUGCAAUCACCAGUAGGCCAGCAAUUAGAUAAUAGGUUGAACUCAGCAAACAGAUGCUUUUAACUGCCCUUAUUGAUUGCUCUGACAAGGCUCUUUUUUCUAUCCACCAUCUCUGCGUUUUUCUGUGUGCAGUUUUUUCAUUCUCUACUUGGAUUGGAUUUACAUGGAUGCCGUGGCUGGUGCUGAUUUGGCAGGAAUCACAGAAUGCAGAACCAACAGAGAGGAAGAUGGAUUUACACUGUAUUAACAUUUAAAAUGGUGCACUUUAAUACUUCAUUUAAAGACUAGAAUGUGCUCUGGGGAAAAAGUACACUAAUAGAAAUAGGACAUGGC